rnacentral:rRNA from 1 species
GACGAACGCUGGCGGCGUGCCUAACACAUGUCAAGUCGAGCGAGGAACUUGCAACUGAUUCCUUCGGGAUGAAGAUGUAGGUUUCCUAGCGGCGGACGGGUGAGUAACGCGUGAGAAACCUGCCUUUCACUAGGGGAUAGCCUCGGGAAACCGGGAUUAAUACCCUAUGACACUUAAGGGUCGCAUGGCCUUUAAGUUAAAGCGCUUUAGCGGUGGAAGAUGGUCUCGCGUCCCAUUAGCUAGUUGGUGAGGUAAAGGCUCACCAAGGCGACGAUGGGUAGCCGGCCUGAGAGGGUGACCGGCCACACUGGAACUGAGACACGGUCCAGACUCCUACGGGAGGCAGCAGUGGGGAAUAUUGCACAAUGGAGGAAACUCUGAUGCAGCGACGCCGCGUGAGUGAUGAAGGCCUUCGGGUCGUAAAGCUCUGUCCUAGGGGACGAUAAUGACGGUACCCUAGGAGGAAGCCCCGGCUAACUACGUG